rnacentral:misc_RNA from 1 species
GGGGUCCAAUAUGUGUGAACUUCCUCAACUGUUCACACAUAUCAUACCGUGCUAUUAGGGUAGAUUGCUUUCAGAGCACCAGACAAUGUGUGCAUGGAGAUAUUGGUCAUUCCAAUUUACGAUCUGUGAACUGCAAAUGCCAGCAAGCUGACAGUGCGAGUAGUUUUGCAUCAGAAAAGGGAAAUGGGUCAUGGACUAUUGACAAUGACCAGAGCUUCGAUACAGUUCAUGGUAAUACACCAAGUGUAAUGCAGUUUGAGACAGUAAGAGAGCUUAAAGUAGGAGAGGAGAACUUUCAAUCCAAUGGGAGUUUACCUCCAAAUGGCUUAGUGGAAGAUACCUUGAAUAGAAUAGCUGGAAACUCUAUCGAAGAUGAAGCAUGGGAACUACUACGAGAAUCUAUGGUUUAUUAUUGUGGUAGUCCUGUCGGAACAAUUGCUGCUAAGGACCCAACUAGUUCCACCGCCGAUGUUCUAAACUAUGAUCAAGUCUUUAUCCGUGACUUUAUACCUUCUGGUAUUGCUUUCCUUCUGAAGGGAGAAUAUGAGAUUGUUCGCAACUUCAUCCUUCACACUCUUCAGCUGCA